UUUUCGGUCACACUUGCCGUUUGUCUUGCGUUUUCAGUGUCUCAAAUUAACAAGGUUUUAGUAAAACUUUUUGAUUAGUUCUUUAGUUUGUACUAAAGUAUAGCCAUACUUCCAACAAUAAUCUGAUAUCGACAAUAUGGCACUUAACCCACAAUACGAGGAUAUCGGCAAGGGCUUCGUUCAGCAAUAUUAUAGCAUAUUCGACGACCCGGCGAACCGCGCUAAUGUGGUUAACUUCUACAGCGCAACAGAGUCCUUCAUGACCUUCGAAGGCCAUCAGAUACAAGGAGCGCCAAAGAUACUUGAGAAAGUGCAGAGUCUGAGCUUCCAAAAGAUCACGCGCGUAAUCACCACAGUUGACUCGCAGCCCACGUUCGAUGGCGGCGUCUUGAUCAAUGUGCUGGGCCGUCUACAGACCGAUGAUGAUCAGCCGCAUGCGUAUAUUCAGACCUUUGUGCUCAAGCCUGUGGGCGUUAGCUUCUUUGUGCAGCACGAUAUCUUUAGGCUUGCGCUGCACGAUGUGUAGCCAAGCAGAUCGACAGUAAACAACAACAAGAACUACAACAACUACAACCGAAACACACUCAGCGAGCGAUCCUGGCCAGGCAAAUGCGAUGACGAUCCGCCACACGCUUUCUCUCAGGUGUUUGUGCUGAAAGCCAAUGCCGGUACCUAUUUUGUUGCUCAUGA